UUAAUGAGGCGAACCGGGGGAACUGAAACAUCUAAGUACCCCGAGGAAAAGAAAUCAACCGAGAUUCCCCCAGUAGCGGCGAGCGAACGGGGAGGAGCCCAGAGCCUGAAUCAGCAUGUGUGUUAGUGGAAGCGUCUGGAAAGGCGCGCGAUACAGGGUGACAGCCCCGUACACAAAAGCGCAUGUGCUGUGAGCUCGAUGAGUAGGGCGGGACACGUGGUAUCCUGUCUGAAUAUGGGGGGACCAUCCUCCAAGGCUAAAUACUCCUGACUGACCGAUAGUGAACCAGUACCGUGAGGGAAAGGCGAAAAGAACCCCGGCGAGGGGAGUGAAAAAGAACCUGAAACCGUGUACGUACAAGCAGUGGGAGCCCCACCACUAAGCCAGUGGUGAACUCCACAUCCGCAUCCUUUGCUGA
rnacentral:rRNA from 1 species